GCCGAAGUGGCGAAAUUGGCAGACGCGCUAGAUUCAGGGUCUAGUCUUUGAAAAAAGGUAGGGGUUCAACUCCCCUCUUCGGCACCA
rnacentral:tRNA from 1 species